UGAGGAAUUUUUCACAAUGGACGAAAGUCUGAUGGAGCAAUACCACGUGAACGAUGAAGGUCUUCUGAUUGUAAAGUUCUUUUAUUUAGGAAAAAAAGCGUGCUAGGAAAUGAGCGCGCCUUGAUGGUACUAAUUGAAUAAGUGACAGCUAACUAUGUGCCAGCAGCUGCGGUAAAACAUAGGUCACGAGCAUUAUCCGGAUUUAUUGGGCGUAAAGGAAGCGUAGGCGGGGAGGUUGAUCCAUUGUUAAAAGCAUUUGCUUAACAAAUGUGUGCAUUGGAGAUCGCCUCCCUAGAGUUAAUCAGGGGGUACUGGAAUUCAAUGUGUAGCGGUGGAAUGCGUAGAUAUAUUGAGGAACACCAGAGGCUAAGGCGAGUGCCUAGGAUAUAACUGACGCUGAGGCUUGAAAGCGUGGGGAGCAAAUGGGAUUAGAUACCCCAGUAGUCCACGCCGUAAACGAUGAGCA
rnacentral:rRNA from 1 species